rnacentral:sRNA from 1 species
GCCCCAGAGACGUGAACGGUCGUUGCGGAGGUUGCGGGCGGCUGAGACGCCGCCUGCCUGGCACCUGGGAGCGCAGCGGAGCCCCGACGCCGCCGCCGCCAUGGAGUCCGAGACCGAACCCGAGCCCGUCACGCUCCUGGUGAAGAGCCCCAACCAGCGCCAUCGCGACUUGGAGCUGAGUGGCGACCGCGGCUGGAGCGUGGGCCACCUCAAGGCCCACCUGAGCCGUGUCUACCCCGAGCGUCCGCGUCCAGAGGACCAGAGGUUAAUUUAUUCUGGGAAGCUGUUGUUGGAUCACCAAUGUCUCAGGGACUUGCUUCCAAAGGUACAUCACUUUCACAUUAACUUCUGAAUGUUUUUAAGCACUCACCAGGUUAGGUUCAGGUCCUUAAGUACCUUCUUAUUACUUUUAGCAGGAAAAACGGCAUGUUUUGCAUCUGGUGUGCAAUGUGAAGAGUCCUUCAAAAAUGCCAGAAAUCAACGCCAAGGUGUGUCUGCCUCUUCAUGAUGGUAACAAUUUGUAUCAUUCAGACUUUCAGGGGAGUAAUAAAAGAAGUUGGAUAAAAC